UACAGAGGUCUCAAGCGUUUGUUCGGAUUCAUUGGGCGUAAAGGGUGUGUAGGUGGCGCCGUAAGUCGGGUGUGAAAUUUCGGAGCUUAACUCCGAAACUGCAUUCGAUACUGCGGUGCUAGAGGACUGGAGAGGAGACUGGAAUUCACGGUGUAGCAGUGAAAUGCGUAGAUAUCGUGAGGAAGACCAGUGGCGAAGGCGGGUCUCUGGACAGUUCCUGACGCUGAGGCGCGAAGGCCAGGGGAGCAAACGGG
rnacentral:rRNA from 1 species